GGGUUAGCCCCCAAAAUAUUGGGACAUAUAAAAAAAGACAACUCUGUUCCGCAGAGUAGCUGUUGUCAUUAUAGUUGCGCAUAUAUUCGUUGACUCUAGAGAACCUCGGGCCAAUCGCACAUCCCCGUGACGGCGACUUUGCAUUCGGAUGUCAUCCAUAUCAACUUUCGAUGCCAGUUUCUGCGCCUACCAUGGUGACCAUGGGUAACGGGGAAUCAGGGUUCUAUUCCGUACAGGGACCCUGAGAAACGGCUACCACAUGCAAGGAGGGCAGCAGGCGCGCAAAUGACCCACUCCCAACACGGGAAGGUAG